GUCGUGCUGGGCCUCGCGGGGGCCGGGCUGGUCAUCGCCCAGGCGAUGCUGAUCGCCGAGGUGGUGACCGGCUCGUUCCAGGACGGGCGCACGGCC
rnacentral:tRNA from 1 species